rnacentral:rRNA from 1 species
AUUGAACGCUGGCGGCAGGCCUAACACAUGCAAGUCGAGCGAGCGGCGGACGGGUGAGUAAUGUCUGGGAAACUGCCUGAUGGAGGGGGAUAACUACUGGAAACGGUAGCUAAUACCGCAUACCAUCAGAUGUGCCCAGAUGGGAAGAGCUAGUAGGUGGGGUAACGGCCAACCUAGGCGACGAUCCCUAGCUGGUCUGAGAGGAUGACCAGCCACACUGGAACUGAUCCACGGUCACGACUCCUACGGGAGGCAGCAGUGGGGAAUAUUGCACAAUGGGGGCAAGCCUGAUGCAGCCAUGCCGCGUGUGUGAAGAAGGCCUUCGGGUUGUAAAGCACUGUCAGCGGGGAGGCGUUACCCGCAGAAGAAGCACCGGCUAACUCCGUGCCAGCAGCCGCGGUAAUAC